rnacentral:rRNA from 1 species
CUGUCCGUUACAGGGGGAUAAGCGGCGGAAACGCCGUCUAAUACCGCGUGACAACCCGAGGGGGCAUCCCCUUGGGUUCAAAGGAGAGAUCCGGUACCGGCUGGGCAUGCGGCGCAUUAGCUAGUUGGCGGGGCAACGGCCCACCAAGGCGACGAUGCGUAGGGGUUCUGAGAGGAAGGUCCCCCACACUGGAACUGAGACACGGUCCAGACUCCUACGGGAGGCAGCAGUGAGGAAUAUUGGUCAAUGGGCGCAAGCCUGAACCAGCCAAGUCGCGUGAGGGAAGACGGCCCUACGGGUUGUAAACCUCUUUUGCCGGGGAGCAAGCCUGAGCACGUGUGCCCAGGCGGAGAGUACCCGGAGAAAAAGCAUCGGCUAACUCCGUGCCAGCAGCCGCGGUAAUACGGAGGAUGCGAGCGUUAUCCGGAUUUAUUGGGUUUAAAGGGUGCGCAGGCGGGCUGUUAAGCCGGCGGUAAAAAUUCAGGGCUCAACCCUGUCGAGCCGUCGGAACUGGCAGUCUUGAGUGGGCGAGAAGUAUGCGGAAUGCGUGGUGUAGCGGUGAAAUGCAUAGAUAUCACGCAGAACGCCGAUUGCGAAGGCAGCAUACCGGCGCCCAACUGACGCUGAGGCACGAAAGCGUGGGGAUCGAACAGGAUUAGAUACCCUGGUAGUCCACGCAGUAAACGAUGA